rnacentral:rRNA from 1 species
GAUGAACGCUGGCGGCGUGCCUAAUACAUGCAAGUCGAGCGAAUGGAUUAAGAGCUUGCUCUUAUGAAGUUAGCGGCGGACGGGUGAAUAACACGUGGGUAACCUGCCCAUAAGACUGGGAUAACUCCGGGAAACCGGGGCUAAUACCGGAUAACAUUUUGAACCGCAUGGUUCGAAAUUGAAAGGCGGCUUCGGCUGUCACUUAUGGAUGGACCCGCGUCGCAUUAGCUAGUUGGUGAGGUAACGGCUCACCAAGGCAACGAUGCGUAGCCGCCCUGAGAGGGUGAUCGGCCACACUGGGACUGAGACACGGCCCAGACUCCUACGGGAGGCAGCAGUAGGGAAUCUUCCUCAAUGGACGAAAGUCUGACGGAUCAACGCCGCGUGAGUGAUGAAGGCUUUCGGGUCGUAAAACUCUGUUGUUAGGGAAGAACAAGUGCUAGUUGAAUAAGCUGGCACCUUGACGGUACCUAACCAGAAAGCCACGGCUAACUACGUGCCAGCCGCCGCCGUAA